AUGACUCAGUCAAGUCAGUAAAUUGUCCGCACAAAUAAAAUCAGCUCUCUUUCAUCACAGCGGUUGGUCGAAAGCUAUGAGUGCAAAAUUUAAGCAGAAUUAGUAGACUGGAUUAAAAUGCUAAAUUUGAAAGCUGUAAAGUCAAGGCAAGGCACCAGACCCGAGGAGUGCGGAUUACAGACCGACUCAUAUGAAUAUUGACUUCGGAAGAGAUCGUACAUGAUUCAAGGCGAGACGGGUACAUUCGGGUGCACUUGGAAUACAGCAGUGAAAAUGGAUUUAAAUGCCAUCAUAGAAAACAUGGAAACAGGGGAUCAAAAUGCCGCAUUGAUGGCACUACAGACGUAUAAUAAAGAGAAGGGUCAAUGCUUCAAAUUUAAUACAGAGGAUGAGGCAGAAAGAGAGGAUGGGAAGUUACAAGAGCGUCUGGGAGAGCUGGUGAUGGGUUUCCUGGAGCGAGGCCUCCAGCCUUCCUGCCAACUGGCCUGCCUGGAGACCAUCCGCAUCCUGUCCCGCGACAAGAACAACCUAGCGCCCUUUGUCACACGCCGUUCACUCGCAGUCCUCAGCCACCAUGCGGGAAUCGUCCCAGGCGAUGGGGAGGCUGUUUCAGGCAAUGGGGAGGCUGUUUCAGGCAAUGGGGAGGCUGUUUCAGGCAAUGGGGAGGCUGUUUCAGGCGACGCCCCUGAGACCCUGGAUUUGGAGGUGAUCGUGGAGGCACUGAAGUGCAUCUGCAACCUCAUACUGCACAGCCCCACCGCCCAGGAGCUCGGCCAAGAAAUGGACUUGAUGACCGGCAUCGCCGAGCGCCUUAAGCAGUGCCACGACAAUCAGUGGAACCACGAGGUGCGCUUCUUUGACCUGCGCCUCACCUUCCUCCUGACCGCGCUGCGUGUUGAUGUUCGGAGCCAGCUGGCCCACGAGUUGCAUGGGGUCAGCCUCCUGGGAAACGCGCUCGAUGCCACGCUGGGUCUGUGCUGGCCUGACACCCUCGAAGUGGCGAGGGAGGGCGUGGUGGAGGACGCCAAAGAGCUGCCGCAGCUAAGCCGUGAGCAGAUUGAGCGGGCCAUGGAGAUCCUUAAGAUCCUCUUCAACAUCACCUUCGACUGCUCGCGCCGCACAGUGGAUGAGGAGGAAGCGGCCACCUACAGACACCUCGGAGCCAUACUCAGACACUGUCUCUUGAGCACCGCAGACGAAGAGGAGCGCACAGAGGAGUUCCAUAGCCAUGCGGUGAACCUGCUGGGGAACCUGCCUCUGACCUGUUUGGACGUCCUUCUGGCACCCAAGGUUCAGCAGGGCUCCAUCGAGCACAUGGGACUUAACAUGGAUGCUGUCAACAUGCUCCUGGAGUUCAUGGAGAAGAGGCUCGACAGGGGAAACAAGCUAAAGGAGACACUCCUUCCUUCCCUGAAUCUGCUCACGGAGAGUUCCCGCGUCCACAGAGAGACCCGCAAGUUUCUCAGGAUGAAGGUGCUUCCACCACUGCGAGAUGUGAAGAACAAGCCGGAGAUGGGGAACGCUCUUCGUAACAAGCUUGUCCGCUUAAUGACUCACAUCGAUACGGAUGUCAAAAACUGCUCCUCCGAGUUCCUGUUUGUUCUUUGUAAAGAAAGCGUUUCCCGGUUCAUCAAAUACACGGGUUAUGGGAACGCGGCAGGGCUACUUGCUGCCCGAGGCCUGAUGCAUGGAGGGAGCGACCCUGGCACAUACUCAGACGACGAGGACAGUGAGACGGAGGAGUAUAGGGAGGCCAAGAGCCAGAUCAACCCAGUGACAGGUAUCGUUGAGGAUGAGCAACCAAACGCCAUGGAGGGGAUGACAGAGGAGCAGAAAGAGAUGGAGGCCAUGAAGCUGGUCAACAUGUUUGAUAAGCUCUCCAGGAACCAUGUGAUCCAGCCGAUGCAGUUGGGAAGUGAUGGGAUGAUGAGGGAGAUGAACGUGUCUGACCUGAAGAGGUUGACCCAGCAGGUUGCCCCCAACCAGCCACAUGCCUCUGACAGCGAGGACGAUCUGGAGUAAGCCCCCAAUGAGGUGUGCGUGUGGCUCAGUAAGGCUAGGUUGGGGGGGGGGGGCUACGUGGGAAUUGGUGCAGGAAUGUGGCUAGCUGCGGGGGAGCGUAGCUUGAUGUAGCUCAGCUCCACAGUUUUACAGAUUUAAACUGGUAAUGUGUGUUUUUCAGUCUAACAGUCUAACA